GAUGAACGCUAGCGGCAGGCUUAAUACAUGCAAGUCGAGGGACAGCACAGGUAGCAAUACUGGGUGGUAACCGGCAAACGGGUGCGGAACACGUACACAACCUUCCUUUAAGUGGGGGAUAGCCCAGAGAAAUUUGGAUUAAGACCCCGUAAUAUAGUUGAAUGGCAUCAUUUGGUUAUUAUAGCUACGGCGCUUAAAGAUGGGUGUGCGGCUGAUUAGAUAGUUGGCGGGGUAACGGCCCACCAAGUCUACGAUCAGUAGCUGAUGGGAUAGCAUGAUCAGCCACACGGGCACUGAGACACGGGCCCGACUCCUACGGGAGGCAGCAGUAAGGAAUAUUGGUCAAUGGACGCAAGUCUGAACCAGCCAUGCCGCGUGAAGGAUUAAGGUCCUCUGGAUUGUAAACUUCUUUUAUUUGGGACGAAAAAGGGCCUCUCUAGGUCAACUGACGGUACCAGAUGAAUAAGCACCGGCUAACUCCGUGCCAGCAGCCGCCGUAA
rnacentral:rRNA from 1 species